GAGACGACUUACCAGACUCCUCAAGGAGGCAGCAGUGGGGAAUAUUGCACAAUGGGCGCAAGCCUGAUGCAGCAACGCCGCGUGAGGGACGACGGCCUUCGGGUUGUAAACCUCUUUUAGCAGGGAAGAAGCGAAAGUGACGGUACCUGCAGAAAAAGCGCCGGCUAACUACGUGCCAGCAGCCGCGGUAAUACGUAGGGCGCAAGCGUUAUCCGGAAUUAUUGGGCGUAAAGAGCUCGUAGGCGGUUUGUCGCGUCUGCUGUGAAAUCCGGAGGCUCAACCUCCGGCCUGCAGUGGGUACGGGCAGACUAGAGUGCGGUAGGGGAGAUUGGAAUUCCUGGUGUAGCGGUGGAAUGCGCAGAUAUCAGGAGGAACACCGAUGGCGAAGGCAGAUCUCUGGGCCGUAACUGACGCUGAGGAGCGAAAGGGUGGGGAGCAAACAGGCUUAGAUACCCUGGUAGUCCACCCCGUAAACGUUGGGAACUAGUUGUGGGGUCCAUUCCACGGAUUCCGUGACGCARCUAACGCAUUAAGUUCCCCGCCUGGGGAGUACGGCCGC
rnacentral:rRNA from 1 species